rnacentral:tRNA from 1 species
CUAGACAAACGGGCCUCGAUCCCAUAAAAAAUUAAUUAACAGCUAAUUACCCUAUCCAGCGGGCUUUUGUCUA